CACCAGCGCCACGAGUGGCUAUCGCGAUUAUUGGGCUUAAAGCGUCCGUAGUCGGUCUUGUACAUCUUCUGUGAAAUCGCAGCGCUUAACGUUGCGGCAUGCGGGAGACACGGCAAGGCUAGAGACCGGGAGGCGUGAAGGGUAUUCCGGGGGGACCGGUAAAAUGGUAUAAUCCCCGGAGGACCACCUGUGGCGAAGGCGCUUCACGAGAACGGAUCUGACGAUGAGGGACGAAAGCCAGGGGAGCAAACCGG
rnacentral:rRNA from 1 species